GCGAAUUGCCCUUGGGGUGCAGCAGGCGCGAAAACUUUACAAUGCUGGCAACAGCGAUAAGGGGACCUUGAGUGCCAGGAUACAAUCCUGGCUGUCGUGAUGCCUAAAAAGCAUUAUAUAGCAAGGGCCGGGCAAGACCGGUGCCAGCCGCCGCGGUAACACCGGCGGCUCGAGUGGUAACCGCUAUUAUUGGGUCUAAAGGGUCUGUAGCCGGCUUGGUUAGUCUCUUGGGAAAUCCGGCAGCUUAACUGUCGGGCUUUCAGGAGAUACUGCCAGGCUCGAGACCGGGAGAGGUGAGAGGUACUUCAUGGGUAGGGGUGAAAUCUUGUAAUCCUUGAAGGACCACCAGUGGCGAAGGCGUCUCACCAGAACGGAUCUGACGGCAAGGGACGAAAGCUAGGGGCACGAACCGGAUUAGAUACCCGGGUAGUCCUAGCCGUAAACGAUACUCGCUAGGUGUCGGCCACGGUGCGACCGUGGUCGGUGCCGUAGGGAAGCCGUGAAGCGAGCCACCUGGGAAGUACGGCCGCAAGGCUGAAACUUAAAGGAAUUGGCGGGGGAGCAC
rnacentral:rRNA from 1 species